CUACUAAACAAGGCGGAUAGUUACUAUCUUUAAUUAAAAGUAGCAAUCUAAUAAAAAUGUUUCUCUUCAUUUUUAUGACUAAUCAUAAGAAUAUGAUCUCUUGGCGUUAUUAUUUCUCGACUUAUUUACACUCGACAUGUGGUUAAUCGAAUUAGAUCCAAAGCGUCUAAUUGGGUUGAGCAAAUUUUAUAUUGACAAACGCUAAUCGUUUUAAAGCCACUUGCAGAAAGGCGUUGAUAAGUGAAACAUGAUGCUUUUCUUCAUCUUUCUUACCUUUUUGAUUAAUACUCAACUAUCUCUUGGGUAUCAGUGUUUGUACAGGGAGAUAAGGAAUUCAAGUGAAUACUGCUUCGUUGAUUCUAAAGUUGAUUUGAAUACUUCGCUAGAAGUUUGCAAUUCGCUCGCUUUGAGACUGGCUACCCUUGAAAGUCAAGACGCUCUGGACGAGGUAAAAAGUCUAAACUUUUGGGCAAACUUGAGCAUACUGGUCAGCGUUUGGCUACCUUUACAUAGUAAGUUGAGUGGAUGGCGGUGGGAUGACUGUCUACCGGUGACUUUUGAUAAUUGGAAGAAUCCUAUUUAUAAAGAUAAAGAACCUGGCUCUUGUGCGUAUAUGCACCCGAAUAGGGAUUGUGUUUGGUACCCAAUUUCUUGCUCCUCUACUACUAUUUAUCCUCUAUGUACUAAUCGACCUUUAGACUGUCCAGAAGAAACUACAAUUGCACAAACGACAAGCCGAAUCACUUCUGCACCUCCCACUUCUCCUUCAACUAUUACUUCAACCUCUAUACUACCAACUUCAACUAAAAUGCAAACAAAGAUACAAACAUCACUAGCACCACUAUCAUCAUCAUCAUCGUCAUCAUCAUCAUCAUCAUCACCAACAACAACAACAACUAGUCAUCCUCGAUCUUCGCAUUAUUCAACUAAAAUUUUCUUUAUCUCUCCCUCAGUUUCUACUUUUCAGACACAAAAAACAACUCAAUUAGUCAACGAAAAAUCUUCUAUUCCAACAUCUGUUGAAACAGCUACGCAUCCUUCAACAAUUUCAACUGAGAAAAACGAAUAUCAAACAACAUCGAACCCGAUUGAUGAAAAUAUAAGAAAACUAAAUCCUAUAUCUUGCCAUAAAAAUAGGAUUUACGAAGAUUCGUUUCAUUAUAGAUGGGUCAAGGGUUACACGAUUAUAAUUAUGUGUAAAUUAGGUUACGAACUACCAGACGGAACAACCUCUAGGACUUUUAUUUGUACGAAAGAACAGCAAUGGAAAGAUCAGAUUUGCAGACCAAAGAGAUGCAACUUGAAUGAUGGAAACGUCAUUAGCUACAAUUCGAACACGAUAGUAAAAUGUCCUAUAGAAUUUUCUCAACAUUGUACUUCUGUUGGAAGAUUGUCUACAAAUUCUUGCGAAAAGAAGCACAUUUCCUGUGGCUUCUUCCCUUAUAUAACUAAUCAUUCUACAGUUGAAUUGGAUAGUACAAAAGAUUAUCUUAUUUUUAAGUGUAACGAAGGCUACAGAUUCCCCAAGGGGGAGCGUAUCAGAAGAUUUUAUUGCAAAAAUAAUAAUUGGAUACCUGAAACAGAUGGUGAUAGCCGAUGCUUAGCUCUCACUUGCCCACCAGUACCAAGAGUUGACAACGCCGAACCAAACACAACUUUAAGCAUUUUUGACACAGUAGUCGAAUACAAAUGCCGAGUAUCUUUUCACGUUGCCCCAUUGAUAAAUAGCCAAGUGAUUCGCUGCAUAGAUCCAGGAAUCUGGAACGGUAGCGUAAGAUCUUGUUACGAGAUUGAUUGCGGAGAGCCUAAAGAAUUGAAGGGAUCGGAGAGAUACUUUAAUUCUACAACAUAUAAUUCAACUGUUGUUUAUCGUUGUCCUAAAGGGCGCAGAUUCUCCGAUGGAACUACUCAAAAAGUAUCAGUUUGUCUAAAAACAUCUAAAUGGCUUUUAAUAGUUGACGAUUGCGAUAUUAAUCGUUGCCCACCUCCUCCGCAAAUAUCAAAUGCUUCAAUUUUUUUCAAAAAUACAAAUCUUGGCAGUUUUGCCUACUAUGAGUGCCGAAAAGGUCAUGAAAAGACAAAAAACAUAUCUGGGGCAGUUAUCUGUUCCGAAAGAUUAAGAUGGGAGGGUAACUUUCCAGUUUGUUCAAGUGAAUUUUGUUAAAUAGAACAAACAAAAAAAACAGGAAUUUUAUUAAAGAUCUUGUUUUUUUUUUCUCAAUUACAGUUGUUCGUUGCAUGAGCUUGAAUGUUUCGCAAGAUGUUGUUCUCAGUUCUCUUGAUUCUCAUUAUAAUUCUAUAAUAAAUAUAUCCUGUAGGAAUGGUUAUUAUUCAACAUUUCCUAGUAAUUUUUCACGAUGCUCUGAUGGAGGAGAAUGGACAAUAGAAGUUCCUUUCAAUGUUUGUCAACGUCAGUUUUUUUUCAUCCAUAAAUUGUACAACUCUAGUUAAAAACUAUACGUUUUCUCUUUUUUACCAAAGCAGCCAUAAGUUGUUCGGAACCGUUACGUAAAAAGUAUUCUUGGUACACUAAGUCAGCAAACUAUGUCUUUGGAGAUUCUAUCGAGUUUCACUGCUUCAAUGGUUUUGAUUACGGAAAGGGCAAAUUCUCAUUUCAUUCGAAUUGUACAGUUUUUGGUUUAUGGUCGAACGAUAAUGAUUGUAAAAAAACGGAAUGCCCUUUCCUUGGCUUAUGGGAUGACUACGUUGCAAAUAGUUCUGAAAAAUUCUUCUCAACAGUUAUCAAUGUUACUUGCCAAAGUGGUUAUUUUUUAAAUAAUGGUUUUGUCGUAACGCAAUGUAAUAAAACUGGUGAUUGGGAGCCGUCUAUUCCAGAUUGUAUUGAUGGAGAACGUGAAACUAAAGACGUUCCUGUCGAGGCAAAAUAUUCUUCGAAUAUUGGAACUGCUGCAAUUGUUAUUUUAAGUGUAAUUCUUUUCUUUAUAAUUGUAUUAGACUUCAUUACUAUUGCGACUCAAUAUAUGACAAAAUCAUCUGAAAAAUCUGUAAUUAUUAUCUAAAAGUUAAACAUAGUAAUUUUUUUGUUAUCGUAUUCUCAAAUUUAAGAACAAACAUGUCGUAAAAGGAACACUUUUCUUCUUUUAUUCUUUGUUCGAAAGAAAAGAUUCUAUCUAUCUAUUUUUGUUAUUGUUAUAACUAUGUAUACUAAUUAUAUUAAGGAAAAGACUAUUUGUCGUACAA
rnacentral:misc_RNA from 1 species